rnacentral:lncRNA from 1 species
GAAUGCGACAAAUAGAUAUUACAUCCAUUGAAAACCCUAAAAAAAUACUGAACUCUAGCUAAGUAUACACAAGCCAAAGUAUUUAGAGGAAAGGGUACCAAUGCCAGCAAUUUACUUUGAAAUGCAUCACUAAAAUAAGGUAAGGUAGACAAAGGGACAGAAAGAUGGAUAAUUGAAAAGCAAUUUCAGUGAAAUGUUAAUGGUAGAACCUAGGUGAUUAGCAUACAGCUAUUGGCUGUAAAAAUGCUUUCUACUUUACUAUGUGUUUUCCAUUUUUCACAAUAAAAUGGAAACAAGAGUAGUGCUGCUUAAAAAAAAAAAAACAGCAAUAAUUCCACCCCAUAAAUGAAUCCCAGACUUUUCCCAGUCCUGGUUCUGGGGAUGUAACCAUGGUAGAGCCCUUGCCUAGCAUGUGCGAGGCUGGGUUCAAUCCCCAGCUCUGCAAAAUAAAUAAAUAAAUAUUUUUAAAAUAAUAAUAAAUCAAAGUCACAACUAUUUACUAGGUUCCUAGGUGACCAAGUGCUUUAUAAACAUUUUCCUAAUCCUCCUGAUGUUAUAGAUUAGAUGAUUAACAUUCAGAGACACUAAGUGACUUGCCCAGAGACACACAGUUGAAAACAUCAAAGCCAGACUUGCCUGAAUCUUCUACACGCUGUUGCCUAGCAAGACUCCGGAUGGGGAUGGAGGGACGUCCCAUUGACGCCUACCCUCCAGAGGCAGGGUCUGGCAGUGGCAUUUGGACGAACAUACUUUCUUCUCAGCUGAUGCCUGUCAGCCUGCAAUCUCAGCUCUGAAUUUGAUCAAACUCAAAACGAAGAGGAAUGCGUUGCUGGUCCUCGACCACCAGUCAGCUCAUCAAGAACUCCAUACAUAUUAACCGAACUCCUACAGUGUAGACGGAAUUCAGAAACAGUUAAGGCACGGUCUUAAAUUUCAAGAAGCAGCCAGAAUGGCUCACCAGUCUGGAGAAAUGGACUCUCUAUCUAAUAAGAGCUUAAACUAGACUAUCCCUCAGGAUCCCCACCCCCACUCUCCUGUUUCUGUGACUUUUGAUCCAUAGUUAAUUUUAAAGGCCAAAGGACUGGGUGCAGAUAGCAUAUGCUAAUGGUGCCGAUGAGGAAAAGUCCCUCAGGCUAGGGGGAAUGUGUCCCCAGGGGAGAGGGAGCUGGUAUUCCAGAGGCAGGAAAUGCAAACACAGGGCCAGGAAUUGGAGCAUGGAGGGGGGUUGUAGGGAAGGAGAGUGGGUUAAUAUCUAGGGAGCUGGGACAGGGCCCAGGAAGAGGUUUUGACCUUAACUCUGAGAAGAAGGAUCCCCCAGAGGCCUUAGGCAUGAGGGUGUGAUGAGAUGCUAUCUCAGGAUGAUUAAUCUAUUUAUUUGGAGUAGAGGGGAAAAAAAACAGUGGCACAAGUCAUCACAAAUAUCACAUCAUUCAAAAAAACAAUGUGGUAGGCUCCAUAAGGUCCUCAAGUCUGUGUCUUUUAAGCUAGGGUCCUGGGAAGGGCCUCUGGACACUCAACAGGCCUACUCAGCUCCCCUCUCCCAUUGCCAACCUGAUUUUUAUGGGUUUAAUACACAGGAGUUCUGGGUAAAAUUUAUUUUGAAACAAGGAUGCAACAGACCUCAACUGAACAGUAUCAGUUAAUUACAGAAAUAAGUAGCCAGACAAAUGCGUCAGGAGGGGGUUGUCUGAGGAGGAAUAACUUGCUGGACAUUCAGCUCUCACAGCUAUUUGAGGUGAGGCCACAUUCUCACCUGGGAGACUGGGCUCUGACAAGAACAGGAAUUCCAGGAAGGCUGGUUUGCAGGGCUACGUGUCUGGGCCCCUGGAGCCCUGAGCCACCUCAUUUCCUUCAACCUCCUGGUCCUACCUCAUUUCCUACAAAGCCCCCACCCCGGCUGCCCUGCCCCAUGGGGCUGUCUGGACUUCAUUCCCUUGGCAGCUCUGCAGCCUCAGCCUGUAGAAUUUCCUCCUCCGUGGAACUGAGGCAGGAGGAAUCAAAAAUAUAAUAAAACAUAAAAAUAAAGCCAUUUUGGAGGGGAGCAGAGCCUCUCCCUAACCCCUCUCCCCUUCUUUGUGUUACUUCAAACACGCAUUUGAGAGCUUUUUGCUGGGAGACUAGACCAGGGUAACAAAAAUAAUAAACUUGGGGAAGUUACACGGGGGCUAGAUUCUUCAGAGUAUGUCUUUUAAGUUCCUUGACUUCAGUCCCCUUUAUAGAAGAUAAUAAUUGAUAAAUCUAUUUUUAAAUAGUUUCAUUCAGACCUGACUGUUAGGUGCCAUGGAGGAAAAAUGUUAGUCCUCACCUGGUCUCAGGUGCUUUCUGACCCUCUGUCCCAGAUGAAAAGGGUCCUUAACGGGUCCUCCAAAACUCAAUGGCUCAGCAUUAUAAUCACUCUCCAUCUCCUACGGUUUCCGUGGGUCAGGUACCUGAGAGGCACCCAGCUGAGUGGUUCUGGCUCAGGGUCUUGGCAGCUGCAGUAAGUGAGCUGGGCAAUCACCUGAAGGCUCCCUGCCUGUCAGUGGCAAGUUGGCUGCUGGCUUGUCCAGGAGCUCAGUCCUCUCCACUUGGGCCUCUCCUGCCGAGAGUCCUCUUGGUGUGGCCACCAGCCUCCCCAGAAUAAGAAAUCCAAGAUGCCAAGAUAGACCUUGGAAUGACUCUUAUGGCCUUGCCUUGAAUGUCAUUCUGUAGCACUUGUACCUUAUUUUACUGGUCUUGGAGGGCCAGCUCUGACUCCACGUGCAAGAAGAGGGCUACAUGAGGAGGCCCGGGUCACUGGAGGCCAUCUUGGAGUCUGGCUCACCACACUGUAGAGGCAUCCAAAGAAGAUCAGGCUCAAAGAGAAAGAAAAGGCAGCCCCUUCAUGCUCUGGAAUGCACAGUAAAUAUUGAGUGAGCAAGACAGACAUAAUCUCUGCCUUCUUGAAGCUUGCGAUCUGGUGGGAAUGACAGGGUUCAUACAAAUAAUGGCAUUUGGAAUAAAAUCCAAUCUCCUUAACUUUGAUCCUCCCUACUUUUUUUUUAGAAAAAUUUUUUAAAUAUAUAUUUUAGUUGUUGAUGGACCUCCUCCCACUCCAAUAUAAACUGCAUGAGAACGCGGGUUUUGUUAAACCUCCUUCCUUACUCUCUGUCCCAAGGCUUGGGACACCACUUAUUAUAUAUGAAGCAAAAAAUGUAUAUCCUAAUGAGUGAAUGAAGUACCCACUUUCUGACCAAGCUGAACAUAUUCUUCCUUCUAGAAUAUUGUAAACUCCAGUACCAGCCCUGCUGCUUGGCCAUUUUGCAGAUCAGACAAACCUUGGUAAAUUGCAGACCUAUUCUAAGAUCUAACUUUGCUGACUUUUUGAGCAAAUGGUAUAUCUUGGCCUCACCUGAUUCCCCACCCACUUGGAGAUUGGAUUGAACCAGCCCGGGCUGACGGCCUUAUUUGUAUUCUUCCUUGGAGCCCGGGCUCCAUUUCGGAUUGCCUUUGCCUGGUUUCCCAUCCAACCUCCCUCCCUCCCCCAAGGGAAGGUUGAUUCCAGCCUUGUUUUGCUACACUUGUGUUUUUAGCUUUCCUGAGUUGAAAUAUUGCAAACAGUUGCUCAUUAGCAUCCCAGCUUUCCUGCUUUUCAGGGGAAACAGCGUGAUGAACAGGGACCCCACGCAUAUUUAUUUUGAAAAUAUGUUUUUUAAUUCGAAAGCAAAUGGACACUGGCGGUCCACAGGUCAUUUCACCUGCUGUGGCAUGUGAUUAGUGAGGCCUUUUCUCUCUGGGUGGUACUGCUAGCUAAUGGACUCAUGCCCCAUAUGUAUGUUUGUCUUCAGUUAAUUAAAAUUUUGCCAAAUCUUCCCUCUGCCCUUGCGCACAGCAAGGCCAAGCCUUGGCUUGUGGCACUGAUCCGGGCUGGCAAGCUGGAUGGGGGCGGUCAUCCUAUUAAAUAUUAAUCUAGGAAGGCAAUCAGGCCUGUGGGCUUCCACCCCUGAGGUUCUCCCGCUGGGAAGUCACAGAUCGAUGCCAGAGCUCAGCGCCUGUGGCAGCUCUCCCUGCCAGACCUGAGUCAGAGUCAGACGCAAUUUUUCGGAAUGGUUUGACGAUCAAUCUGAGCAGAAUUCUGAAAGAUCUCUCUUAAAAAUUGGAAUGAAUUACACACACAGGUACCCUGGAAAGGGAUGUUAACCAUCACAUGAAAGUGCACCUUAUAAAUGACGAAUGGGACAGUUUGCCAACAUUUUUUUUUUAAAGUUUGGGGUGCCCCGUGCAAAAAUGGUGCACAAACACAGUUUGUGUUAGCUGCUUGAAAUUCUGUAAUCCCAGCAGCUCAGGAGGCCAAGGCAGGAGGAUCGUGCGAGUUCAAAGCCAGCCUCAGCAAAAGCAAAGCAGCUCAGUGAGACCCUGUCUCUAAAUAAACUACAGAAUAGGGCUGGGGAUGUGGCUCAGUGGUUAAGUGACCCUGAGUUCAAUCUCCAGUACCACUAUCACACCCCCCCCCAAAAAAAAGUGAAUGGACCUAUUUGCCAAUUUUUUUUUUUGUUAUGUUUGGGGUCAGGUAAAGAUGAGUAAAGGCAUCCUGCACUUCAGAUGCCACUGUUGAAAAUCCAUCUCUCCAUCCAAGGAUAAGAGAGGAGGCGAAGAUUUGAAUUGGCCCCAACUAAUGAAACCUCCACUGCUCCCUGUGCAGAAAUGUGCAAGUUGCUGACUCACAAGUUCACCUUCCAGCCCUCUGCCCUUCAGUCACUUCCAUCAAAUCAUUUCAGCAAAUACCUUCUGCUGCCAAACGUGCAAGAUAGAAAAUGCACUCUAGUGUGGGUCGAAUUGAGUCCCCAAGAAAGAUAUAUAUUGAAGUCCAGUACCUGUCAACACGACCUUAUUUGGAAAUUGAACAUUUGCAGAUGUAAUUAGUUAAGACAAGUGGAUCUUGAUCCAAGGACUGGUGUCCUUAUAAGAAGACUUAACAGAGUCACAAGGACACACCAGAGAUUGCCAUGUGAGGAGGGAAGUAGAGAUUGGAAUGGUGCAUCUGCAAGCCACAGACCUGGGGGGGGGGGGGAUGUCUGCAGUCACCAGACACUAAGGAGAGGAAAGGAAGCCCCUCCCCUAGAGCCUUCAGAGGGAACCAGCCAUGCUGGCACCUCAAUCAGCUUCCAGCUUCCAGAGCUACGAGUGAACUUCUGUUGUUAUGGCAGUUACGAAACUAACACACACUUUACUCCUGGCCCUGCUGCUGCCAACCCCCAACCCUGGCUGCUUGUCCUCUCUGCAGACAGGCUCAGUCACCCUGAUCCUCUGCCCUGCUUGGGAUGUCAAGGACAACAGAAUCUCAAUUUUGGUUUACAAAGUGAGGAAUGAGCCUAAGAAGAAAACCUCACGGUACCUCAAAUCUUGCUGAUGAUUUUCAAAACACCUCAGUCCACGUUCUUUUUUUUUUUUUUUAAGUACCAGGGAUUGAAGCUAGGGGGGCACUUAACCUUGGAGCCACCUCCCCAGCCCUUUUUUGUACUUUAUUUAGGGACAGGGUCUCACUAAGUUGCUUAGAGCCUUGCUAAGUUGCUGAGGCUGGCUUUGAACUCACAAUCCUCCUGCCUAGCCUCCCGAGUGCUGGGAUUACAGGCCUGUGCCACCACGCCUGGCUCAGUUCUCAGUCUUGCCAAGUUGGAGGUCAGUAAGCAUAAGAAGAUCUCUCUUUAAUGAUGAGGACGUUGCUCAGCCUCAGGAGCCUUCACCCCAAUUCAAGUCUCAUGAGCUGGCAUCAUCAAUACAGAGAAGAGGCACUGGCACGACUUUGUACUGAUCCUGGAACAUAUUUCAGAAACUGAAUUUUAUAUUUUGGACUCUUUGUUCUUCUAGAAGUUGGAUGUUAGGCUCUGAGGGCGAGCUCAGUGGAACAGCACUUGCCUAGCAAGCACAAAGCCCAAGGUUCCAUUCCCAACAACACGGAAAGAACAAAAAGAAGAUCAACCAUUUACUUUUGCUCCCUACCCAAUCCCUCCAGAAUUAGGAAAAGGCCAAAUGUCACCAGAAAGGUGACACAGGUGAAUUCAGAAACACUGUUAAUCAACUGGAUGGAAUUGCCAUCUGUAGACUGUUUCAUCUCACAACAGCAGAAUUCACAUUCUUCUCAAGCUCAUAUGGAACGUUUACUAAGGUAUACCUCACCUUGAACCAGAAAUCCUGUCUGCUCUCAAACCACAAUAAAAUUAAACUAAAAUUGAACUAAACAUAUCUGGAAAAUACCAACAUACUUGGAGAUUUAACAACAUUUCAAAAUAACACCUGGGUCAGAGAAUAAAUCUCAUAAGAAAUUUUAAAUAUUUUAAACUAUAUAACAACUUACCAAAAUUUGUAGAAUGAAGCAAAAGCACUGUUUGCUGAAAAAUGUAUAGCAUUGAAUGUAUAUAUCAGAAAAGAAGAAAUAUCUAAAAUCUAUAAUCUAAACUUCCACUUAAGGAAAGUAGAAAAAGAAGAUCAAAUUAAGCCCAAAAUAAACAGAAGAAAAAAAAUAGUGUGGGGCUGGGGAUGUGGCUCAAGCGGUAGGUUUAAGGAAUGUUAGUGACCUUAGAUAACUAAACCUGAGCUAGGAGACUGCCCUGGGAAGCUCAGCUGAGUCACUUCGAGGCCCGGGUUCGAUCCUCAGCACCACAUACAGACAAAGAUGUUGUGUCUGCC